UACGUAGGGAGCAAGCGUUGUCCGGAAUUACUGGGUGUAAAGGGAGCGUAGGCGGGAGGAUAAGUUGAAUGUGAAAUCUAUGGGCUCAACCCAUAGCUGCGUUCAAAACUGUUCUUCUUGAGUGAAGUAGAGGCAGGCGGAAUUCCUAGUGUAGCGGUGAAAUGCGUAGAUAUUAGGAGGAACACCAGUGGCGAAGGCGGCCUGCUGGGCUUUUACUGACGCUGAGGCUCAAAAGCGUGGGUAGCAAACAGG
rnacentral:rRNA from 1 species